rnacentral:miRNA from 2 species
UUUGGUAGUAGUUAGAA